rnacentral:tRNA from 1 species
GUUACUAUACUUUAUGUUUAGAAGAUUUGGUUUGCAACUAAAUAGAGGGUCUUAGCCCUAGUACCA